rnacentral:sRNA from 1 species
UAUUACCGUAGAAAAUUCAAAAUGUUUCAAUGUGGAUAUUGUCACUUGAUUUUCUCGGAUUAUCAAACCAUGUAUCAUCACGAAAAAACUCAUGAGAAGGAAUACCUACCACAAAGAUCAGAUGUCCAGGAACAAGACCUGUUCACAGAUCUGGAAGACAUGGACUGGAGCGAGGUGACUCUUGCCGAAGGUGAUGACUUGCUAGAUGCGGUCUACUUUCAUGACAUCGCGGAGUCCUCGUUUCACGGAGAUCAAUCACUUCUAGAAAACUUGGACACCUUCGACUUUACAGAGUUACCAGGACCUUCCUUCGCUCGGGACUCGACAGUGCAAAAUGGAGGCGAGAGGGACGAUUUCAACAUCCGUCUGCUUAAGGAAAAGGCUCUCAAGACAAUGGGGGUCAAAGAAGUCUCAUACGAACUGACUUUCAACGACCGCCUCUUUGGUGAGCAGAACAAAAUGAACGAGGUGUUCGACCUUCUCAGGGAAGCCUUCCAGAAAAUGAUAGAUCGAGUCAAAAGAGACCUUCGUCCUGGAGAUAUUGUCCGUGUGGCCAUUCACAACGAAGGACUUGACCUACCGGUGUUCGUUCCCUUCCGUCCAAUGGAAAACAUGAAUACGGACACCUUGCUGGAAACCUUGACCCACGUUCUUAAUAGUAAUGAGGAUGUGGCUUUUGAUUCCUCAUGUCGGGUCGAUGUAGGAGCUAUCCGAGGGGGCAAAGGGCGCAAGAUGUCGACUUUGGCUCUUAAGAUUGCCAAAAAGCGUUCGAUUGUGGCGAUCUACAACAACGACAACAUCUGUCUUGUUCGGGCUACUCUUGUUGCCCUCGCCGGCGCCUGUAAGUCUCAUCCAGAUGAGUUCCGCAAAUGCCAGAUGCGACAGCCAACAUUCACUGCCGGAGAAAUGCUCAUUCAUUUUGGGGUGUGUCCAAUCUGGUAUUAUAACGAUCUACGCGCCAAUCAUCAGCGGGCACAAGACCUCUUGACGAUUCGAGUCUGCGAGGCCCUAGGGAUUGUCGCGGACGAACCCUUGACUUAUGCCUGCAUCCCUCGCCUGGAAGAAUUCCUGAAUAUAAACUUAUAUGUCAUCAGUGCAAGUAUGGGGGAUAAGUUUUCGUACAUCAGCGCCCACCACAAUCAAGAACGCAAGAAAGUUUUUCUGUACCACGAAGACAUAAACGACAAGGAGCACUUUCACGCCAUUCCUAACAUCACUGGAUUUUCCACCAGUUCUUACUUUUGUCAGCACUGUCUCGUGCCAUUUAAGAAACCUUACCGUCACCACUGCGUGAAUUACUGUGGCGUGUGUCAGUCGUAUGACUGCCGCAAGGGUCGAGAACCCUGUCCGAAUGUCACCGGACCUGUCGCUCCCAGGCGUGUUACCAAAGACACAAAACACUCACUGACAAGGGGUUCGUUCCUUGUCAGACCGCAUACAAGUGUCCCGUUUGUCUGCAGACCUUUCACAUCUCCGACAGAAUGCCAGAAGAUCAUCGCUGCGGACAUUACACGUGCAAGUCCUGUCAUCAGUAUAUCGAACCCGAACACCUCUGUUACGCCAGAGCUCACGCGGUCUCCCCGCCAGAGCCACGACGAUACAUCUUUGCCGACAUCGAAUCCUCCAAGCGAGACGAGAUCGUGCAGUGCUAAUUUGGGUACGCUCCCUCACCCGACCCUGACUGUGUCCGCUGUCAAGACCGCUCCUGUGCGAGUUGUCGCCUCUGUCAGCACUGUCAGAAAUCACACUGCGGGCAAGCCAGACAUUCGUUCGUUCUUGCUGUGUGUCAGACCGCAUGUUCGGAAUGCAAGGAGGAAAAUCGAUGCUCCGCUUGUUCCACGAUCGAUAAGAAGAUCAAGAAGUACCUUAAACCUCCCUGUACCAACACAUGUGGGAGACGCGAACGAGUCUUCGAGACCUUGCACGAUCUGGGGAUCUGAAUGUUCAGUGACACGCACAAGGGGUUUACGGUCUUCUUCCACAACCUUUCUUAUGACGGCUGCUUUCUCAUUCAAUACCUGAUUUCGCAGACCAUUUGCCCGUCUACAGAGGCAGUAAGAUUCAGAUGUUCAACGUCGGUAAACUGAACAUCAGAGUCUUGAACUCGUUCAAUUUUCUGCCCAUGGCCCUCGGGAAACUGCUAAAAGCAUUUCAGCUCGACUCCCUGAAAAAGGGAUACUUUCCUCAUUUUUUUACCAGUGUUGCCAAGUUGACAUACGUGGGGCCUUAUCCCCCCGCCGAAACUUACGGACCUGAUAGGACAAGUUCAUUUUUUCACCAGAUCUGAACAAUUUCAUUUUACCCUCCAAAAAGUAAUUAUUAUAAGUAACUUGACAGAAAAUAGCAGUCUUUCGGUUCAAUUCACAGAAAAUAACAGUCUACAUCUCACAUUCAGUUAUCCCAAGCUCCCCUUAAAAUCUACCAAAGAAGCGGGUACUUCUUGUGAAGACCUAGAGCAGAUAAGAGAUGAGGAAAAAGUAGAUGAAGAAGACAGAAAUGAAGAAGAAGAGGAAUUAUCAGAAGAGCAAGAAGAAAUGGAGAUUUGCAUUGACAAUAGUUUAUUGAAGAUGAUUCAAAGACAAGAAGAGUUGAAAGAAGAAAUUGAAAGACGCUUAACAGACUUUCAGUCGAGAUUUGAUAACAUUGAAGAAGAACUUGAGGAUAUCAUGUAUUUAAUGGAUUAACGGAAAUUUUCGCAGUGCAUGUAUAGUUUGUAGAGUUACCUCUCUUUUCUCAUCAUUAAGUAGUUUAUCAUGAUUAAAAAAACUUACCUUUUCACUGAUGUCUAGAUGUGAAAUGAAAAAAUGCCUUUAUCUCAUAAAACAUUUUUUUUUGCCUUAUAUACAUGUCUGUAUUUAUCACUUCUAAAAAUAUUCUUUGUAAAAAAUACGUAUAAGUUCAUCACGUU